AUUGAACGCUGGCGGCAGGCUUAACACAUGCAAGUCGAACGGUAACAGGAAGAAAGCUUGCUUUCUUUGCUGACGAGUGGCGGACGGGUGAGUAAUGCUUGGGAAUCUGUUUCAUGGAGGGGGAUAACUACGGGAAACUGUAGCUAAUACCGCGUAAUAUCGAGAGAUUAAAUGUGUGGGACCGUAAGGCCACAUGCCAUGAAGUGAGCCCAAGUGGGAUUAGAUAGUUGGUGAGGUAAUGGCUCACCAAGUCGGCGAUCUCUAGCUGGUCUGAGAGGAUGACCAGCCACACUGAGACUGAGACACGGCCCAGACUCCUACGGGAGGCAGCAGUGGGGAAUAUUGCACAAUGGGCGCAAGCCUGAUGCAGCCAUGCCGCGUGAAUGAAGAAGGCCUUCGGGUUGUAAAGUUCUUUCGGUGGUGAGGAAGGUUGACGUGUUAAUAGCACGUUGAUUUGACGUUAGCCACAGAAGAAGCACCGGCUAACUCCGUGCCAGCAGCCGCGGUAAUACGGAGGGUGCGAGCGUUAAUCGGAAUAACUGGGCGUAAAGGGCACGCAGGCGGUGACUUAAGUGAGGUGUGAAAGCCCUGGGCUUAACCUAGGAAUUGCAUUUCAUACUGGGUCGCUAGAGUAUUUUAGGGAGGGGUAGAAUUCCACGUGUAGCGGUGAAAUGCGUAGAGAUGUGGAGGAAUACCGAAGGCGAAGGCAGCCCCUUGGGAAUAUACUGACGCUCAUGUGCGAAAGCGUGGGGAGCAAACAGG
rnacentral:rRNA from 1 species